rnacentral:rRNA from 1 species
UGGGGAAUAUUGGGGCAAUGGGGCGCAAGCCUGACCCAGCAACGCCGCGUGAAGGAAGAAGGCUUUCGGGUUGUAAACUUCUUUUAAGUGGGAAGAGCAGAAGACGUUACCCUCAGAAGAAGCACCGGCUAACUCCGUGCCAGCAGCCGCGGUAAUACGGAGGGUGCAAGCGUUAAUCGGAAUAACUGGGCGUAAAGGGCAUGCAGGCGGUUCAUCAAGUAGGAUGUGAAAUCCCCGGGCUCAACCUGGGAACAGCAUACUAAACUGGUGGACUAGAGUAUUGCAGGGGGAGACGGAGUUCCAGGUGUAGCGGUGGAAUGCGUAGAUAUCUGGAAGAACACCAAAGGCGAAGGCAGUCUCCUGGGCAAAUACUGACGCUCAUAUGCGAAAGCGU